rnacentral:rRNA from 1 species
CCUACGGGUGGCAGCAGUGAGGAAUAUUGGUCAAUGGGCUUACGCCUGAACCAGCCAAGUCGCGUGAGGGAAGACUGCCCUAUGGGUUGUAAACCUCUUUUGUCAGGGAGCAACGCGGGCUACGUGUAGCCGGACUGAGAGUACCUGAAGAAAAAGCAUCGGCUAACUCCGUGCCAGCAGCCGCGGUAAUACGGAGGAUGCGAGCGUUAUCCGGAUUUAUUGGGUUAAAGGGGUGCGUAGGCGGAAUGCCAAGUCAGCGGUAAAAUCGCGGGGCUCAACCUCGCUCUGCCGUUGAAACUGGCGGUCUUGAGUGGGCGAGAAGUAUGUGGAAUUCGUGGUGUAGCGGUGAAAUGCAUAGAUAUCACGAAGAACUCCGAUUGCGAAGGCAUCAUACCGGCGCCAAACUGACGCUGAAGCACGAAAGCGUGGGUAUCGAACAGGAUUAGAUACCCUUGUAGUC